AGCGAACGCUGGCGGCAGGCCUAACACAUGCGAGUCGAACGAACCCUUCGGGGUUAGUGGCGGACGGGUGAGUAACACGUGGGAACGUGCCUUUAGGAUCGGAAUAACUCAGGGAAACUUGUGCUAAUACCGAAUGUGCCCUUCGGGGGAAAGAUUUAUCGCCUUUAGAGCGGCCCGCGUCUGAUUAGCUAGUUGGUGAGGUAAUGGCUCACCAAGGCUACGAUCAGUAGCUGGUCUGAGAGGAUGACCAGCCACAUUGGGACUGAGACACGGCCCAAACUCCUACGGGAGGCAGCAGUGGGGAAUCUUGCGCAAUGGGCGAAAGCCUGACGCAGCCAUGCCGCGUGGAUGAUGAAGGUCUUAGGAUUGUAAAAUCCUUUCACCGGUGAAGAUAAUGACUGUAGCCGGAGAAGAAGCCCCGGCUAACUUCGUGCCAGCAGCCGCCCGUAACAC
rnacentral:rRNA from 1 species